rnacentral:tRNA from 1 species
GAGGGUGUUAUAAGAUUUGCUAACUCUUUAACCUGGAACAAACAACUCCGGCA